rnacentral:rRNA from 1 species
GGUUAAGCGACUAAGCGUACACGGUGGAUGCCCUGGCAGUCAGAGGCGAUGAAGGACGUGCUAAUCUGCGAUAAGCGUCGGUAAGGUGAUAUGAACCGUUAUAACCGGCGAUUUCCGAAUGGGGAAACCCAGUGUGUUUCGACACACUAUCAUUAACUGAAUCCAUAGGUUAAUGAGGCGAACCGGGGGAACUGAAACAUCUAAGUACCCCGAGGAAAAGAAAUCAACCGAGAUUCCCCCAGUAGCGGCGAGCGAACGGGGAGCAGCCCAGAGCCUGAAUCAGUGUGUGUGUUAGUGGAAGCGUCUGGAAAGGCGCGCGAUACAGGGUGACAGCCCCGUACACAAAAAUGCACAUGCUGUGAGCUCGAUGAGUAGGGCGGGACACGUGGUAUCCUGUCUGAAUAUGGGGGGACCAUCCUCCAAGGCUAAAUACUCCUGACUGACCGAUAGUGAACCAGUACCGUGAGGGAAAGGCGAAAAGAACCCCGGCGAGGGGAGUGAAAAAGAACCUGAAACCGUGUACGUACAAGCAGUGGGAGCACGCUUAGGCGUGUGACUGCGUACCUUUUGUAUAAUGGGUCAGCGACUUAUAUUCUGUAGCAAGGUUAACCGAAUAGGGGAGCCGAAGGGAAACCGAGUCUUAACUGGGCGUUAAGUUGCAGGGUAUAGACCCGAAACCCGGUGAUCUAGCCAUGGGCAGGUUGAAGGUUGGGUAACACUAACUGGAGGACCGAACCGACUAAUGUUGAAAAAUUAGCGGAUGACUUGUGGCUGGGGGUGAAAGGCCAAUCAAACCGGGAGAUAGCUGGUUCUCCCCGAAAGCUAUUUAGGUAGCGCCUCGUGAAUUCAUCUCCGGGGGUAGAGCACUGUUUCGGCAAGGGGGUCAUCCCGACUUACCAACCCGAUGCAAACUGCGAAUACCGGAGAAUGUUAUCACGGGAGACACACGGCGGGUGCUAACGUCCGUCGUGAAGAGGGAAACAACCCAGACCGCCAGCUAAGGUCCCAAAGUCAUGGUUAAGUGGGAAACGAUGUGGGAAGGCCCAGACAGCCAGGAUGUUGGCUUAGAAGCAGCCAUCAUUUAAAGAAAGCGUAAUAGCUCACUGGUCGAGUCGGCCUGCGCGGAAGAUGUAACGGGGCUAAACCAUGCACCGAAGCUGCGGCAGCGACGCUUAUGCGUUGUUGGGUAGGGGAGCGUUCUGUAAGCCUGUGAAGGUGUACUGUGAGGUAUGCUGGAGGUAUCAGAAGUGCGAAUGCUGACAUAAGUAACGAUAAAGCGGGUGAAAAGCCCGCUCGCCGGAAGACCAAGGGUUCCUGUCCAACGUUAAUCGGGGCAGGGUGAGUCGACCCCUAAGGCGAGGCCGAAAGGCGUAGUCGAUGGGAAACAGGUUAAUAUUCCUGUACUUGGUGUUACUGCGAAGGGGGGACGGAGAAGGCUAUGUUGGCCGGGCGACGGUUGUCCCGGUUUAAGCGUGUAGGCUGGUUUUCCAGGCAAAUCCGGAAAAUCAAGGCUGAGGCGUGAUGACGAGGCACUACGGUGCUGAAGCAACAAAUGCCCUGCUUCCAGGAAAAGCCUCUAAGCAUCAGGUAACAUCAAAUCGUACCCCAAACCGACACAGGUGGUCAGGUAGAGAAUACCAAGGCGCUUGAGAGAACUCGGGUGAAGGAACUAGGCAAAAUGGUGCCGUAACUUCGGGAGAAGGCACGCUGAUAUGUAGGUGAAGCGACUUGCUCGUGGAGCUGAAAUCAGUCGAAGAUACCAGCUGGCUGCAACUGUUUAUUAAAAACACAGCACUGUGCAAACACGAAAGUGGACGUAUACGGUGUGACGCCUGCCCGGUGCCGGAAGGUUAAUUGAUGGGGUCAGCGCAAGCGAAGCUCUUGAUCGAAGCCCCGGUAAACGGCGGCCGUAACUAUAACGGUCCUAAGGUAGCGAAAUUCCUUGUCGGGUAAGUUCCGACCUGCACGAAUGGCGUAAUGAUGGCCAGGCUGUCUCCACCCGAGACUCAGUGAAAUUGAACUCGCUGUGAAGAUGCAGUGUACCCGCGGCAAGACGGAAAGACCCCGUGAACCUUUACUAUAGCUUGACACUGAACAUUGAGCCUUGAUGUGUAGGAUAGGUGGGAGGCUUUGAAGUGUGGACGCCAGUCUGCAUGGAGCCGACCUUGAAAUACCACCCUUUAAUGUUUGAUGUUCUAACGUUGACCCGUAAUCCGGGUUGCGGACAGUGUCUGGUGGGUAGUUUGACUGGGGCGGUCUCCUCCUAAAGAGUAACGGAGGAGCACGAAGGUUGGCUAAUCCUGGUCGGACAUCAGGAGGUUAGUGCAAUGGCAUAAGCCAGCUUGACUGCGAGCGUGACGGCGCGAGCAGGUGCGAAAGCAGGUCAUAGUGAUCCGGUGGUUCUGAAUGGAAGGGCCAUCGCUCAACGGAUAAAAGGUACUCCGGGGAUAACAGGCUGAUACCGCCCAAGAGUUCAUAUCGACGGCGGUGUUUGGCACCUCGAUGUCGGCUCAUCACAUCCUGGGGCUGAAGUAGGUCCCAAGGGUAUGGCUGUUCGCCAUUUAAAGUGGUACGCGAGCUGGGUUUAGAACGUCGUGAGACAGUUCGGUCCCUAUCUGCCGUGGGCGCUGGAGAACUGAGGGGGGCUGCUCCUAGUACGAGAGGACCGGAGUGGACGCAUCACUGGUGUUCGGGUUGUCAUGCCAAUGGCACUGCCCGGUAGCUAAAUGCGGAAGAGAUAAGUGCUGAAAGCAUCUAAGCACGAAACUUGCCCCGAGAUGAGUUCUCCCUGACUCCUUGAGAGUCCUGAAGGAACGUUGAAGACGACGACGUUGAUAGGCCGGGUGUGUAAGCGCAGCGAUGCGUUGAGCUAACCGGUACUAAUGAACCGUGAGGCUUAACCUU